rnacentral:rRNA from 1 species
CACGUAGGGCGCAAGCGUUGUCCGGAAUUAUUGGGCGUAAAGAGCGUGUAGGCGGCCAGAUAGGUCAGCUGUGAAAACUCGAGGCUCAACCUCGAGACGCCGGUUGAAACCAUUUGGCUAGAGUCCGGAAGAGGAGAGUGGAAUUCCCGGUGUAGCGGUGAAAUGCGCAGAUAUCGGGAAGAACACCCGUGGCGAAGGCGGCUCUCUGGGACGGUACUGACGCUGAGACGCGAAAGCGUGGGGAGCGAACAGG